GACUCUAGCUUUGCCAACACCCUUGGCCAAAGGGUGUGUCUGCAACCAUGACCUCUGUAAUGUAGCAAGGCCCCCACAGCAGGGAAAUUUCUCCCCGUGUCCAGAUGUACUUGAACAAUUGGAAUCUGGGAUGUAAAGUUGAAAAACUACCAAAUUAAGGGAUCCUUCAUAAAAGGCAUCACCGCAUCUGUGCUGGUCUCUUGGAUCUCCAGCUCUUGGGGAAGCAAGCCACUAUGGUGUGGGGACAUUAAAGCAUCUUAUGGGAGAAACCCACUCAGAGAGGAACUUAGGCCAAAAGGCAGAACCACUUUGCUAACCAUGGAAGUGAACCACCUGGGAAGCCGAUUCUCCAGCACCAGUCAAGCCUUCAGAUGACCACAGCCCCAGCAACUUUACGGGAGACCCUGAACCAGAACCUAGCCCCCAAGUUCCUGACUCACAGAAAUUGUUAAGACAUAAUAAAUACUUAUUGAUGUC